GUAGGUGGCAAGCGUUGUCCGGGAAUUAUUGGGGCGUAAAGCGCGCGCAGGUGGUUCUUUAAGUCUGAUGUGAAAGCCCCCGGGCUCAACCGGGGGAGGGGUCAUUGGAAACUGGGGAACUUGAGUGCAGGAGAGGAAAGUGGAAUUCCACGUGUAGCGGUGAAAUGCGUAGAUAUGUGGAGGAACACCAGUGGCGAAGGCGACUUUCUGGCCUGUAACUGACACUGAGGCGCGAAAGCGUGGGGAGCAAACAGGAUUAGAUACCCUGGUAGUCCACGCCGUAAACGAUGAGUGCUAAGUGUUGGGGGGUUUCCGCCCCUCAGUGCUGCAGCUAGCGCAUUAAGCACUCCGCCUGGGGAGUACGGUCGCAAAGACUGA
rnacentral:rRNA from 1 species